rnacentral:rRNA from 1 species
AUUGAACGCUGGCGGAAUGCUUUACACAUGCAAGUCGAACGGCAGCACGGGUGCUUGCACCUGGUGGCGAGUGGCGAACGGGUGAGUAAUACAUCGGAACGUACCCAGUUAUGGGGGAUAACUAACCGAAAGGUUAGCUAAUACCGCAUACGCCCUGAGGGGGAAAGCGGGGGACCGUAAGGCCUCGCGUAAUUGGAGCGGCCGAUGUCGGAUUAGCUAGUUGGUGAGGUAAAGGCUCACCAAGGCGACGAUCAGUAGCAGGUCUGAGAGGAUGAUCUGCCACACUGGAGCUGAGACACGGUCCAGACUCCUACGGGAGGCAGCAGUGGGGAAUUUUGGACAAUGGGCGAAAGCCUGAUCCAGCCAUUCCGCGUGAGUGAAGAAGGCCUCCGGGUUGUAAAGCUCUUUCGGCAGGGAAGAAACGCUCUGGGAUAAUACUCCGGGGUAAUGACGGUACCUGAAGAAGAAGCACCGGCUAACUACGUGCCAGCCGCCGCAGUAA